ensembl:snoRNA
AUCUUUCUGGUUCAUGAAUAUGAUGAUUGGUGCUCUCAUGGCUCAUCUGUGAUAGGUGCAGCCCACACUUGUUACGCACUGCGCCUCAGCCCUUCUGAUC